rnacentral:lncRNA from 10 species
AUUUAUGUAACCAUUCAUCCCUUGAAGAACAUCUGGGUUGUUUCCAGUGGGCAAUUAUAAACAGAGCCUCUAUCAACAUUCCUGUACCAGUUUUAGAAUGAACAUAAAUUUAUAUUUCUCUAAGUACUCAGGAGUAGAAUUGACGUUCUGUCAUAUGGUGCAGAAAGCUGGAAGUGAUGCUCCAGGGAGUUUAUGUCUCCCCAUCUUGACCCACACCAAUACCUGAGGCUCGUUGCUUUGAUUCAAGUCCGGACAAGCUCUAAGGUUCAGCUCACACUGGGAGUCACGCUGCAGGAGCUCCUGGGAGUCUGUGAACGGUGGUGAUGCAGAAAAGCAAAGCGUGUAUAUCUGUUUUAGUCCUCCCUCAGAUCUGCUGAGGACACCUUGAGCCUGAAGUGAAAUCACAGUGGCUCUCAGGAAGAAGGGUGACUGUCUGGUGUGCAGUUGUGCUGCCACGGCAAAGGGAACUUUAAAACAUAGAACUGCCAUGUAGAAGCUCAGGAAAUAUCCAUGGUCUGUCAUCUCUUUUGGUCAUAGAAUCAAAAAAAAUGGAAGACGAGAAAAGGCAGUGAAGACUGACAGCCUGUUGGUUGCUAUUCCAGUCGUGUCUGCUCCAUACGCGCCCUCCAUCUCAUCCCACCCAGUCAGUAUAUUUUCACCAGGCAGUGUUGCAGAAAUGUCUGUGGACUCCAGUUCUAUUGCAGUCAGGCAGCAUUUACAGGUUUGACUUUCAACUGACCAUGGCAGGAAGUCUAGAGGCAAUUAUAGCCAACACCUGCUCUAUGUGCGUGCCGGGCAGGUGGUGGCUGAUUCCUUGCCUCCAAUCCAUGAUGUGUUUCCUAUCAGCUCAGAAUAAUAACAGUGACACCUCUGCUUCUUCUCUGUCUGGGGGAGCUCAAGGCACUUUACUCUGAAAACCCUCAAAUUACUGGCAUUUCUUUUAGUGAAGAUAUCAAAUUAAUGACUGAAAAAAAUGUAGAAGAUGGUUAUUGGUGAUGUUAAAAGACAAGUUUAACCCACUUCCACACAACAUGUCUUACAAGCGUAAAGUAUUUGAGUAGAGAAAACUAUGAAUCUAAAAUUGAACAAGAUGUGAAUUUAGACAGACAGCGUUUGUGGUCACAGAUGUGCCGAGAUGAAGACUGGAGGAAGGGCACAGUUUCUGUAGCAGUGACUUCCACCCAGGGUGUGUCUUGCUAUUGUGUGAAAUGAUUUUUGACACUGGACAAAUCUCUACUUCCACUUACAAUGUUUUGCCAGCUAGCUGAGGCAUUCUGGGAGGGUGAGGAGCCUGGGCUUGGGCUGACCUCAGGAAAUCCUGUGUAAAGGGCUUUUGCACACUCAGAAGCAGGCCAGGUUCACCGCUGUUAUGUGCAAUAUUCACUCCUGGCUCUUGCUUCUGAGCCUUGGCAAACCUGAGUCCUAAGAGGCCAAUGAAAAGGAAAACACGUUAAGGAGCCAGGGCGCUUCUUGGAUAUCAGCCUGAAUAGUUCUGUUUCAUCUGGACCCCAAUUUUACUCUCCUGCUGUUUUACACGGAACUAAAAAGAGCUUUACAGAGGACCAGAUAGACUGCAGGUCCCUAGGCAGUCAGGGGCCAGGCAAGGCAUAGGAGGGUGUCAGGCCUCUGAGCUCAAACUAGGCCAUCAUAUCCCC